CAACCCCUGGCUUAGUGGUUGGAGUACUGGUCUUAUAAACCAGGGGUAGUGAGUUCAAUCCUCACUGGAAUCC
rnacentral:tRNA from 1 species